rnacentral:rRNA from 1 species
UACAGAGGUCUCAAGCGUUGUUCGGAUUCAUUGGGCGUAAAGGGUGCGUAGGCGGCGCGGUAAGUCGGGCGUGAAAUCUCGGGGCUUAACUCCGAAACUGCAUUCGAUACUGCCGUGCUUGAGGACUGGAGAGGAGACUGGAAUUUACGGUGUAGCGGUGAAAUGCGUAGAUAUCGUAAGGAAGACCAGUGGCGAAGGCGGGCCGCUGGACAGUUCCUGACGCUGAGGCACGAAGGCCAGGGGAGCAAACGGG